CCUACGGGUGGCAGCAGUCGAGAAUCAUUCACAAUGGGGGAAACCCUGAUGGUGCGACGCCGCGUGAGGGAAUGAAUUUCUUCGUAUGUUAAACCCCUGUCAUAUGGAAGCAAGUUAAAACGAUCGUACCCCAAGAUGCAGAGACUGCUAACGCGGUGCCAGCAGCCGCGGUAAUACAGAGGUCGCAAGCGUUGUUCGGAAUCACUGGGCGUAAAGCGUGCGUAGGCUGUUUCGUAAGUCGGGUGUGAAAGGCGCGGGCUCAACCCGCGGACUGCAGAUGAUACUGCGAGACUAGAGUAAGGGAGGGGGAAGCGGAAUUCUCGGUGUAGCAGUGAAAUGCGUAGAUAUCGAGAGGAACACUCGUGGCGAAGGCGGGUUACUGGACAGUAACUGACGCUGAGGCACGAAGGCCAGGGGAGCGAAAGGGAUUAGAUACCCCUGUAGUC
rnacentral:rRNA from 1 species